CGAAGGGUGCUAGCGUUGUUCGGAAUUACUGGGCGUAAAGCGCGCGUAGGCGGCUAUUCAAGUCAGGGGUGAAAUCCUUGGGCUCAACCCAAGAAUUGCCUUUGAAACUGUAUAGCUAGAGUGUCGGAGGGGAUAGCGGAAUUCCUAAUGUAGAGGUGAAAUUCGUAGAUAUUAGGAGGAACACCGGUGGCGAAGGCGGCUAUCUGGACGACAACUGACGCUGAGGCGCGAAAGCACGGGGAUCAAACAGGAUUAGAUACCCUGGUAGUCCGUGCUGUAAACGAUGGAUGCUAGCCGUUCGGGGGUUACCCCUGAGUGGCGCAGCUAACGCGUUAAGCAUCCCGCCUGGGGAGUACGGUCGCAAGAUUA
rnacentral:rRNA from 1 species